UUUGUAUCUUGUAGUCAGGUACAGUUAGAAGGGCUGUGGGACUGAACACAGCCAACUUGAUUCCCGGCAGAUCAUAGCGGCUCCCCUCAUUCCCUUUAAAUUCAGCGGAACAUGGCGGAAUCAUACCAGACUCGCUGGAGUCCGAGCACGAAAUCGGCGUGUGCAAAUUACAUUCAUAAGGGUCUGCAAAAAGAUUUCCACUUGCGGAUGAUGUAAAGUUGGCCACUGCAGAGUAGACAGUUGGCGAUACUUCCAAUGGAACGUUCAUGGGUGACAAGCCCUUUUUGCCGUCCACCAUUGCUCUGAUCCAUGAAGCCCACCAUUCACCAUGCUAAGUGCAGUGUGAAAAUGGCUUAAGGGGUUUAACUGGAAUAAUAGAGAAUGACACGCUGUGUCGCCUUGGUGGCCGAAUGAUGAUGUCAAAGCUGAGGCGCUGGAAUGAAACCACGCCCCCUUUUUUCAUCACACUUGGAGAGAGAUGGAAAAUAGCGUUCGCUUAAUCAAGGGCAACUGAUGGCAGCAAAAGUGGACAAGUGGUUGGCAUGUCGGCUUCACGCUUCUGAGGUCUCUGUAGUGCCUGCCCAGCUAUCAAGUGAGGAAAUUAAACAAGCAAAUCAA